rnacentral:rRNA from 1 species
AUGUGGCGGUAUGGAAGAAAUAAAGUGAACAAUCAUGAAGAUAACAAAAUCCACUUAUCAACUACAAAGAUAAAUACUGAACAAAGUGAGCAUUUGGAAAGUAGUAAGUUAAGUCAUGGCACCAACAUACCAGCUUUAGCAGCAUCUUCGCCAUUUGUAUCUCCAUUAGAGACAGACAUUGUUUCCUUCUCUCCCAUAAACAUAAUCCCAGAAGCAUUGAAGGGGGGAAAUUCAGAGCGUGCAGACAUUGUUUCAGGUUCAACGUCAAUCCACUGUCCAGUUUCAUGUUUUUGCCUCCACAAAUCAAUGAACUGUGUGCAUGCCUUCCUAUAA